UAUUAUGCCAUGACAUUGUGUCAGUAUGCGAUGAUGUGUUGUGAUGGCACAGCGUCAUCACGUGGUGACACAGCAUCAUGACAUAAAA
rnacentral:pre_miRNA from 13 species